AAGAAGAUAUGCACGAACAAAGAAGAUUUCUUUGUUAAAAUUCUCCAAAAAAUUUAAGCAUGGAGCCAAAACUAAAAUUUUUAAACUGAUAAUGGAGCCAAACCAAAAAAAUUGCUUAUGCUAUAUAUUGACAUAAACAAUCGACUGAAUCACAAUCACUUAUGGAUUCUAACUUUGAUUUGAAUCUUUCAUAUAUAGCCAAUGAAAAUGAGUUUUUAUUUGAUCUAAAUCAAACACCAACAAAUGAAGAAGUAGAUGCACUCAAUAACGAAGAUGAUGAUGAUGAUGAUGAUGAUGAUGAUGAUGAUGCACUCGUUAACAGUCACGUCUAUGCAAGCGAUCUUUUAACUGAAAUAGAUCAAGGUAUGAGUUUAUGUUGAUUUGUUCUAACAAUUAUGUAUAGUCAUGUUUACGUGCAAUUACAAGUAUACAAGUCAACAAAAGUUGCUGGUUUUGUUUGUUUCUGUAAUAUAGAUGCGUUUUCUAAAAUAGAUUAUGUUUGCUUUUUUAAAUAAAAACUGUAUACAAUUAAAUUAUCGAAUUGUGGUUUGUUUCUAAUAGAAUUUCCAUGAAUAAACUUAUACUAUGUAUAUGUGUUGUUAGUAUAUUUCUGAUUUUCAGUUUUAAUAAAUUAUUUUAAUUGUCAAUAUGCAGAGAUAAAUAAUGACAUAGAGAUUUCAAGUGGCAAGAAGAAAAAUCUCUCGAACACAGAAAGAUGGGCAAUCUAUAAUGCUUUGUUGGAGAGAAGCCAUGAUGGGAAUCUGAAAAAAAAUACUACUCGAGAAGUGUCUGAAUUGUUUCUGGUAUCUAUCCGAACCGUGCAACGGAUUUGGCAACAAGCAAAAGAAACUUCAAAUGGUGAGGCAGUUAACGUCUGCCACAAAAAAUCAAGAAAUUGCGGUCGCAAGAAAAUUCCUCUCAACUUGAAUCAAGUUAAGAGUAUUCCAUUUCACAAGAGAACAUCACUUCGAUCGCUCUCAAAGAGUUUGGGUAUUGCUACUUCAACGUUGCAUAAACGUGUCAAGGAAGGUACGCUUCGUCGUCACACUAAUGCUAUCAAACCAAGUUUAAAGGAUGGUAAUAUAAGAGAUAGGUUGAAGUUUUGUUUCUCCAUGCUAGAAAAAGACUCUUUGAUUCGUGAACCAAAAUUCGUCAAUAUGUACAACAUUGUACAUAUUGACGAAAAAUGGUUCUACAUGACAAAGAAAAUGGAGAAGUAUUAUUUAGUUCCUGAUGAAGAGGUACCGCAUCGUACAUGUCAAAGUAAGAACUACAUUGAGAAGGUGAUGUUCUUGGCGGCGAUGGCUCGACCGAGAUUUGACGAGGAAGGAAAUGAGACAUUUUCUGGCAAAAUAGGAGUGUUUCCUUUUGUUACCAUGCAACCAGCUAAGAGGCGAAGCAAAAACCGAGACGCUGGAACCCUAGAGCUAAAAGCAUCAACUUCUGUGAAACGAGAAGACAUAAGAGCAUGUUUGAUUGAAAAAGUCAUUCCAGUAAUUCAUGAAAGAUGGCCAGUUGAAGAUCGGGGGAAGACUAUUUUCAUCCAACAAGACAACGCAAGGACACAUGUCCAGUGUGGUGAUCAAGAGUUUAAAGAGGCUGCCUGCAAAAAUGCGUUUGAUAUACGUUUGAUGUGUCAACCAGCAAAUUCACCAGAUCUAAACAUUUUAGAUCUCGGAUAUUUCAGUGCAAUCCAAUCAUUACAGCACGAGACAUGUCCCAGAACCGUAGCAGAUCUUGUUCAUGUCGUGGAAGAAUCAUUCGAAGAAUACCCUGCUGAAAAGGUUAAUUAUAUUUUUUUGACCCUUCAAUCGUGCAUGAAAGAGAUCAUGAAAACUGGAGGAGACAACAAAUAUAAAAUCCCGCACAUGAAGAAAGCUACACUUGAUAGAGAGAACCGUCUUCCUCUUCAAAUAAGUUGUGAUGUCUCCUUGGUUCAAAGCGUAAUGGCUACAUUAGCAUCUUCAUAAUUUUAGUUUUAAGAUUGUUGAACUCAUCGUUAGAACUUAUUUAUUUUUCAGAUUUUUUAUUUCUCAUUUUGUUUUGUUUUUAUGAGUUUACUAUUUUGAAGUAUUUUUAUUUUAAAAUUAUUGAGUAUUAUAUUGUGUCUAUAUGAUCAAAUAUAUCUUAAGGUCAUGUGAUCUAAACAAUUAUUAAAAAAAUUGAAUGGAACAAAGAAAAUAAGGAAAAUAGAAACGUGAAACUAUAUUUCACAUCUUUAUUAUGAUAAAAUAACUUGCAAUACAAGAAGACAUUAUUUGAUCUUAAAAAGAAUGUGAAAGAUAAAUCUUCAACAUUUCAAGUAAGGCUUCUUCAAUUGCUUUGUUAGGGUGAAGCUCUUCUUCAUCAUAAAAGAACAAUUUAUUCAAAUCAAAAUCACGAUUGACACGAAAACAAACUCUGUCAACUGGUAAAUCAUCUUUUUCUUUGCUCUCCUCGUUCUCCAUUUUAAAUUGAUAAGUUAUACAGAUUGAAAGAGACGAAGAAGAAGAUGUCGUAAUAUAUAGUGGGUGGUAUAGUUAAUUUUAGUCGAUCACUAUUACUUUUUCAUUGUUUGGAAAUAUAUAUAUUUCUCGUAACACACUACAAAAAAGUCAGCAGUUUGAACUUUUGACUAGAAUCUGAUAUUAAUAAUUGUAAGGGUAGAAAUAGUCUUUUGUUGUCACUUUUUGCAUAGAAUUUCGUAAGCGUCAUAUAUUCUGACACAAAAAAAAAGUUGUAGAACGUCACUUAUACAAGUUACAGCUAACAAAUCUCUUUGUUUUUUUUUCUGCUUUAUAUGAAGAUUAAAUUAGCUAACUACAACAUAAAAGUACUGUAUGUUGGUCUUUUACCAAAAAUUAUUCUUUUUAUUAAAAUAAAUUAAGUGGAGUAAUAAUAAUAAUACUAAAAAUAACCAGCAAAGCAUACCAUAUAGAUUUUAUCUUUAUGGGUUAAUUUUUAAAUUUCUUGAUAAAAAUAUUUAUAUCUAACCUAUACUAAAAUGGAGAUAUACUCCACUCUAAAGCUAUCCACGUCAGAUGAAAAAAUCAACCACUAAUAUUGCAGCAAUCAUCCAUGUCAUUUUGAUUAAUCUUUAUUUGGGCUUCGUAUUUUAUUUGGGCUUUUUCUCUUAUUUUUGCUUAAUUUUUUUUGGCUUCUCUUGGCUUCAAGGAAAAACGAAAUCGUUUUUCUUCUUUGACGCGAGUCACACGACUGUGGUGACCUUUCGCGAUUCUUCUUUCGAACUGAAAUGGUGUUAUUAAUGGCUGUGUGAUUACUCGAAUUGAUUCACCUCUCCACGAUUCAUCUUCAAUAUUUGGCUUAGAUGUGAAAGGCGGUGUGUAAACAGUAUAAAUAGAUGUGACUUGUGAGAUCCCUCUCUUUGAACUCAUCUUCUCUUCAAUCAUCAAUCUAUUUUUUCUUAAAAGCUUGAGUUCAGAUGAUUCUGGUUUCGUUUUAUUGAUUUAGAAAGUUUUAGUUUAUAUGAUUUUGUGUUCGUUUAUUGAUUUUUUUUAAGGUUUAUGAUGUAAGAUGAUGCAAAGUAACUCGAUAUUUACUUUAUGAUGUUAGAACCGAUUAAUCGAUUUAAUAUUUGUUGUAAUUUGUUUCAUCUACUCGAGGCCUCUCGCAGGCUUCUAAGGAUCAAUCACCUUUUAUCGUUUUAACUCCUUCCUACAUAUCUUGCAAGAAGGCCCAGUUUAUGAGUUAAAUGGUUUGAUUCCGAGAAGCAAUCCAACCUUCAAGUUUGCUGACGCAGACGUUUCUAUUAAAUUCACGGACCAGACAGCUUUCGUGGAGGUCACGGACCAGACAGCUUUCGUGGAGGUUACAGACACAACUAAGCUGAUCCUGAAUCCCGAGGGAGAGCUUCAGGUUCCGCAAUACGAGUAGCUCAUGUCACUUGCCAAUACCAUCACUCAUUUUUCAGAUAUAGUUGGAGAAAUUAGGAGCAACAAAACCAUGUACAACGAAGACACCCAGAGCACCCAACACCGCAAGGAAACCAUAAAGUUUGAUGAUAGGGACAAGCCUGUCUGCCUCAGUGUUGUUGAUGGCCUUUCUGCGGACCUAGACACACAACUACUAAGCUCUGGCUGAAUCCCUGAAGUUACAGCUUUAGAAUAUUUAUUUAAUGACUCUGCUUCACUUUUUUUUAUCAUGUUCGUUUCCAGGUACAGUCUUUGCAGUAUUCGCUAUGAUUUCCUUAGGUGUGAAGACUCUAUUCUCAAAGACAUAGUAGUUUCUUGCUGUCCAGAUUCCCCAAGUAAUCCAAGGAAAAAGGUUAGUCGCUACUCCUAAUGGUGGCAGAUUAGUGGCCGCUGUUGAACCGAUGAAAGCUUCCGCGAAGGUGGCAUGAAGCCUUGGGUCAAAGGGAGAAGACCAGAUGUGUGAGCUCCAUAUCUGUCGUGUGAAGACACAGUGAAGAAACAAAUGGUCUGUGGUCUCUGGUUCUCCGCAGUGGCGACAUGAGAUGUUGUUGAGGAUGCCUCGCCUAGCCAAAUUUUCUCCAAGCGCUAGUGCUCCUUGCAUUAUCUUCCAGAGAAAUAGAUGUAGCUUUGGUGGUAUUUUACUAGCCCAAAUGGAUUUGUAAAGGUUCUGAUCUGGUAGGGGUCUCGCCUCAACUCUGUUAGCAGCUAACUCCAUUGAUGCAGCAACAUAAUAUCCAGAUUUCGCAGUGUAAACUCCUGACCUCGAUGCUAGCCAGACAAACGAGUCCGGAACUCCCAUGAUGCUCGGUUUUACAUUCAGUAUGUCAGUCAGAUAAUUAGGUAGCACUUCCUUGAUUCUCUGAAUGUUUCAGUCUGUAUUUCCUCGACAUAAAAAGUCCGCCACAACUAGGUCCUGAUGUUCUUCUUUUGCAGGUCCUAUGGGUCUGGUCGGAAGAAGGGGACUCAGCCAAGGAUCCUUCCAGAUUCUAGUGCUUUCCCCAUCACCAAUGGCUUUACCCAGGUUAGUUGCCAGGAGGUCUCUGCCUGCAAGAAUUCCCCGCCACCCAUGGGAUGCAGACUUCAGAGGUUCUACCUCAAGAAAAGACACCUUGCUGCAGUAUUUGCCUCUAAGAACUCUGGAAAGUAAACAAUCAGGUUUCGAGAUGAUCCGCCAAGCCUGUUUUGCGAGUAAGGCCGUGUUAAAAGCUUGGAUAUCCCUGAUACCAAGACCUCCUAAUGCUUUAGGUGCAGUGAGUGUUUCCCAAGCUACCCAAAACAUUUUCCUUUUUUUCCGGGGACUCAUCCCACCAGAAUCUUGUGAGUGCGGAUUGAAUGCGCUUACAUAGACUCACUGGCAGUUGGAAACAAGUCAUCGUGUAUGCCGGAGUGGCGGUGAGGACCGACUUUAGCAUAACAAGUUUACCGGCUGGAGAGAGUUGUCGGGAGCACCAGCACGCAGCCUGUUGUCUUAUACGAUCCACUAUACCAGUGAAAAGGUCUCUCUUCCGUCGACCGAAAUGUUCCGGGAGUCCUAGAUACUUUCCUACUCCGCCCUCUUUCUCAAUCCCGAGGUGUGAUUUAACACGUUCCCGUAUUACCUGCGGGGUCAUGGCUGAGAAGAAGAUGGAAGAUUUAGAAGCAUUAAUCAUCUGUCCCGAUGACCUUCUGUAUUUGUGAAUAAUUUCCAUCAGCGAGAUACAACUAAGGUCGUCUGUGCCAAGGAAAAACAUAGUAUCGUCCGCAAAAAGAAGAUGAUUUAUUUGCGGUGCAGGUAUCGCCACUCGCAGUCCUGAAAGAUGUCCGCUGCGCUGAGCUCUUAAGCACAGCCCGGAGAGCACUUCUCCGCAUAAGAUGAAUAAAUAUGGGGACAGCGGAUCUCCCUGACGAAUCCCUCUAGACAUCUCCAUAUUCAUCUCCCUCGCCACAGCUCAACCGAACGCUUCCACCAACUCUGACAUCCCCAUUUGUAGUCUGUUUUACUGAUGCAGCUUGGCAGGCUGGAUCAAAGAAGGCAGGCUGUGGAUGGAUCUUCACGGACCACCGGGAUGCGUGGUUGAAGCAGGGAACGAGCACCUUCAACUACACUUCAUCGCCACUGAUGGCUGAGGCUCUCGCCGUCAGAACAGCUCUCCUCAAUGCCCUCGAAGCGGGCUAUACCAGAAUCUGUAUUAAAUCAGAUUGUCAAGCACUUGUUGCGAUUAUCUCCUCGAAAAAACACCCGGCGGAUCUCCACGGAAUCACUCGGGAUAUCGAGUUUCUAUCUCUCUCCUUUGAUUGUAUCUCCUUUGUUUUCAUUUCCAGAAACUUGAACUCGGCUGCUGACGCCCUUGCAAAAUCAUCUCUGCACUCUGCUCCCACCAACUAGUUUGCUUGGUUUGGGUUUCAUCUAUAUUAUUCAGUGUUCAAAAAAAAAAAAAAAAGUCUUUGCAGUAUUUGGAAUUCUACAGUUACAUGGUGUUUCUAUCACAGUCCUCUCUAUAAGUGGCUUCAUAGGGACAAAAACAUUUGAAUGGAUCACAUGUAUUAUUAAUAUUUCUAUCUUGAGUGCAGUUCGAGCUUGAAAAUUGUUGUGUCAAAGCAGUAAACCGGAGAAAGAAUAAGAACAUGUACAGAGUUUGGGUUCGUGGGAGGUUCCAAAAGCCAUUUCUAAAAUAAAGAAAGGGAAGUGCUGGUCCAACUCUUUUGCGGCUCUUCUAGCAUGCAGCUUCUUUGCAUAGUGCAUCUUCUCAACUUCUCAUUGAUCCGACCCUCUGUCUCAGUGUGUUUGACGGAUAAGUCAACCACCUUCCCUAAAGUUUGAACGUUUGGGGUUUGGAACCAACAACCCAAAAAAAACUUUUUUGUUAAUAAUAUUUUGAGAUUGUUUGUUGUAAUGUCCAAAUAUGGGAAUCAUCUGAUAUAAAUUGAGAAAUGCUUCUUCUAGAGGGGAUGAGGAUAUGAAGAUAUCCAUCUUCAAGCU